rnacentral:rRNA from 1 species
UGGGGAAUAUUGGACAAUGGGCGAAAGCCUGAUCCAGCCAUGCCGCGUGUGUGAAGAAGGUCUUCGGAUUGUAAAGCACUUUAAGUUGGGAGGAAGGGCAGUAAGUUAAUACCUUGCUGUUUUGACGUUACCGACAGCAUAAGCGCCGGCUAACUUCGUGCCAGCAGCCGCGGGAAUACGAAGGGUGCAAGCGUUAAUCGGAAUUACUGGGGGGAAAGCCCGCGUAGGUGGUUCAGCAAGUUGGAUGUGAAAGCCCCGGGCUCAACCUGGGAACUGCAUCCGAAACUACUGAGCUAGAGUAAGAUAGAGGGUGGUGGAAUUUCCUGUGUAGCGGUGAAAUGCGUAGAUAUAGGAAGGAACACCAGUGGCGAAGGCGACCACCUGGACUGAUACUGACACUGAGGCGCGAAAGCGUGGGGAGCAAACAGGAUU